GUAGGUGGCAAGCGUUGUCCGGAAUUAUUGGGCGUAAAGCGCGCGCAGGCGGUUCUUUAAGUCUGAUGUGAAAGCCCACGGCUCAACCGUGGAGGGUCAUUGGAAACUGGAGAACUUGAGUACAGAAGAGGAAAGCGGAAUUCCACGUGUAGCGGUGAAAUGCGUAGAGAUGUGGAGGAACACCAGUGGCGAAGGCGGCUUUCUGGUCUGUAACUGACGCUGAGGUGCGAAAGCGUGGGGAGCAAACAGGGAUUAGAUACCCUGGUAGUCCACGCCGUAAACGAUGAGUGCUAAGUGUUAGGGGGGUUUCCGCCCCCUUAGUGCUGCAGCUAACGCAUUAAGCACUCCGCCUGGGGAGUACGGCCGCAAGGCUG
rnacentral:rRNA from 1 species